GUUUUGCUGUGUAAGCAGCUUCACAGAACUCAGAACCACAGCUCUUCCACAUUCCUUGUAGAACGUCACUGAGAACCGGUGCUGGGGGGCAGCAAAAGAGAGCAGAAGCGGGUAACACCAGGGAGCGGACAACCCCAGCAGUACCGUGACAGCAGCACCCCACGGUCACGGACAGGAAUGCAGCGGGAAGGGGGGGCUCAGGAGGUCAGCUGCCACCUGGGGCUGCAGUCCUGGAAGACGGCGCCAAAUUCAGUCCCAGCGAGGACUUAACAGGAGCAAGGCCAACCCGGAAGCCACAGAGACUUGGGAAGAACCAAGCCAGGACCCCAGGCGUGAAAGGCAGAGGCACUUACCAGAGGCUGGCUCGGGGAGCCGCGUGGCACAGGCACCAGUCUUGUUCCUGAGUCCGGCCCUGAAGGACAAGCCAGGGGGCCAAGCUGCCCAAGCUCCUGAUCUCGGGGUUUCCACAUCUCAGCCCUUGACCUGCUUCUCCUGCGAUCCUAGCAGCAUCCUUCCCGCCUCUCCUCUCGCCUCGCCCUUUCCUCCCACCUGGGGCCACAGCUUCGCCAGACCCUGCCUACACGCCCAGACCUGCACGCUGUCCGGAGCUCGAAGCUCCACCAAAUGACCAGUGCGAGUGGACAUGCAGAAUCCCCUCCCUGACCAAAACAGGACAGCAUUUAAGCCCUGCCAUCCACGCCAGCGCUUUUCAACUCUAGAAUGCAGCAGCUUCCCAGGACUGCAAAUUCAAAGAGAGAUUCUCCCACCACGCAC
rnacentral:lncRNA from 1 species